CUAAUAGCUGUCACAUGAGCACUCGUUACUGUUGGAGGAGAGGAAGAAGAAAUUCGGAAUGGAGUUUGAGUUUCUCCUGAACGCACCCGUCUGAUUCGUGAGGGAUCAACAGCGUUCACGACGCCGUGUAAAAGAAACCCUCAGCUCAGUGAAAAUGGCCGCCACAGUGAACAAGGAGAAGCCUCUUCCUCUCAGCAGCGUCUUUGACCAGGACUACACCUCCACAUCAGUCCAGCUGCAGCUCGUCGGCCUCGGCUUCGGCUUCUACGCCCUCGUCUUCCUUCUGUCUCACUUCCUGUCUGUCCUCCUGUCCCAGACCUACCGCUCUCUACCUGCUAAAGAGAAGGUGUUCUGGUGUUUGGCGGCGACACGGGCGUUCUUCGGUGUGCAAAGCUCAGGGGCGGGAUUAUGGGCGCUGAUGGAGGACGGUCCCUUAUUCAAUGAUAAGGUGCGUGGACAGACGGGCUGGUCGUGGUUCACGGUGCUGACGGCGUGUGGAUUCUUCAUAUUUGAGAACGUGACGCUGCACAGCUCCAAUCUGGUGUUCCGCUCCUUCGACGCUCCGCUCGCCGUGCAUCACGCCUUUGCCCUGGCCGGUUUCAGCGGGACCGUGCUGUAUGAGGACAUGGGACACUUCCUGGCCAUCAUCACGCUGCUGCUGGAGAUGAGCACGCCCUUCACCUGCGUCUCCUGGAUGCUGCUCAAGGCCGGUUGGUCUCGUACCGUGUUGUGGAGAGCGAAUCAGUGGCUGAUGAUCCACAUGUUCCACUGCCGCAUGGUGCUGAUGUACUACAUGUGGUGGGUGUGUUGGUGUCACUGGGCCGAGCUGCUGGCGCACGUUCCUCUCCCUCAGCUCCUGCUCUUCCUCAUCGGCCUGGCGCUCCUCACGCUCAUCAUCAACCCCCUGUGGAUGCACAAGAAGACCAUGCAGCUCCUCAACCCCGUCGACUGGAACUUCAGCAGCAAGCCGACGCCCGACAACGGCCUGGCGAGGGGCAAAGCCCACGAGAGCUGAGCUGGGCGAUACUGAAGCACAAACCUGGUGGUGCUGCUGAGCAGAAUUCCACAGCGCUCGUCGUUUUUAUCGGGUUUGGCUUUUCCAGGGUGAGAGUGACUCAGCGCGAGUAUUUAUUAAACAUUUGUUCGAAAGUGUGUCUGCUGGAAAAACAGCUGGGUUUGGUUUUACAGAUGUGGUCAGCUCAGUGUUUCUCCCCUUUAGGAUCCGGUUUUUCCAAACGGACAGUCCGGUCCUCAUUGGUUCUGUGAUGCCCCUUUUCCACCAAAUCAGUUCCAGGGCUGGUUCGGGGCCGGUGCUGGUGCUGGUUCACAACUCGUUCAACUUGCGAGCCAGCUGAGAACCAGUUUGCUUUUCCAUAGCUCACGGUGCUAAGGGAAGCCACAUCAUUACGUCGCUACGUUUGCAUAAACCUUGGCGCGAAUAUCGAAGCAAAAACAACGCAGAAGCAGCAGCAACAAUAAUAAUAAUAAUGGAUGACUUCACGUUUGUACAGCUGCUGCUUCUCGUCGCUUAAAAAUGGCGAUCUUUCGCGGUCUUGUUAUUGUUGCUGGUCUUAACAACUCCGCCCCCUGCUGACGUAAGCGGUUCUUUCCUCUGGCCCAGCAGAGAGUUGGUGCUAGCCUGGAACCGGUUUUUCUGGCCCCAGAGCCAGUUUUUUGUCAGUGGAAACAGAAAACCCGGUUCCAAACUAAGCACUGGCCCCGAACCAGCCCUGGAACCGCUUUGGUGGAAAAGGGGCAUGUGUGACCUGAAGAGGAAGCGUUCUAUAAAGUCCUGAUUUAUUUACAUGUUUUAGGUCAAAGUGUAACCUAUAUUUCCAUAAAGGGGUGGAGCUAUAUGAGACAGAUGUAUCACAAUAAACAAUGAGUAUUAUGUAUAAACAUUUAAAAAAUUAGCUUGGCGAUUUACUUUUAUAAAUAAAUAUUAUAAAUAUAAAUAAAUUAACACUGGAAAAAGAAGGGAGAAUAAAUUUAAAAUUGAUUUUGGGAUUUAAAAUUGUCAAAUAUUUUACAACGAACACCAAAUCAGCUGCUAAACAAAGUGUUAAUUAUUAUUAUUUUUUUUUUUAAUAUGUAAAAUUAUUAAAAAAAUUUUUUUUUAAAGAUCAUAAUCCCAGAGAGAUCGCAACCAAGUUGUGUGUACCAUGACAAUUUAUCACAAUAUUGAUUUUAUAUAAUAUCGCUCAGCCCUAAUUCUCAUCCCCCCCCCUUUUUUUUUAUUAUUAUUAUUAUUAUUAUUAUUAUUUUAUUUUUUUUUUUUUAAGUAAAUAAAACCCCUGUGGUUCUCCAGUUAACACUAACACAUGCAUGCGGUGUGUGUGUGUGUGUGUGAGGUUGUGUUCUGUUAGCUGGUGAGCUCCAGGUCAUGUUUUUACCUCUCAGCGAUUCGCUGUUUUGUUCCUGUGGAGGUUUCGAGCUGAAACUGACCCAGCUGUUCAUCUCAUUCCUGCUGUCACGGAUAUAUUCCAUUCAGCGCGCAUGAUACUGAACGAGUCGAAGGUGAGUAGCUGAAUGGAAUAUAUCUGAUAGACCACGAACAAAAGCCAGCCAAUAUAAUUAUUAUACAUACACAUUCCUUUCAGGCGUUCUCAGGAGUGGUUUGAUAUUAGGAACACAACGGGUGUAUCCCCUUUCCUGAAGACGUCUGUGUGUGGUGGUGGUGGCGGCUCUUGAUGCCAACUUUCUCAAGUUCUUGAAUCGACUUUUCUUUUCUUGACGGUCCUCUCAGCGCUGCACUCAUCCCUGGUGCUUGUGCACCUUUUCCAGCCAGCCUUUUCAGCAAUGACCUCCUGUAGCUUACCCUCCUUGUGGAGGGUGUCGAUGAUUGAUUGAUUGCCUUCUGGACAACUCAAAGUAUUUAUUUUAUUAAAAAAAGCUCUUUAUUCUGGUCAGGGUCACGGUGGAUCUGGUGUGAGGCAGGAAUGCGAUCCAUCAGACGCACACCACAUAUAUUUUUGGAAGGUGGGAGGAAACCUGAGACCCCUGAGGUGUGUGUAUGUGCAUUUCAUUCUGUAUGUAGCUUUUGUUUCAGGAAGUGUGUCGAAAUAUCUGAUCCUCUGCCAGCGCUUUGCACUCCAGAGGGGUUAUUACAUCCCCUCAGUAGUGCACUUAGCAGAAACAAGGCGCUGCAGCCUAAAUGGUUGCGUUGAUGUUUUGUGUGACGCACAAUGAGGUAUGAUGUUUAAUUAUGUCACAGUUUGUGAAAUGCACAUAAAAAGGAAAUAGAUAUGGAUUUCAGUCUGUUUUAUAUUUUACACAUGGGUAUUUAGGUCACUAAGUAGGGUGCAUGGACAUGUAGUGCACUAGAGAAAAGAACAAUCACCUCUACUCACAAAUCAAACGUCAAGGCUGUGUUUUAUUUCGUUUGUCCACUAGAGGGCAGAAGAGGCCUGAACUGAAUUACAGUGAGGUGUGUGAACUCAAGACAAUAGAAUUAUGGGAAUAAAUCACUUAAUAAAAACCUAAGUUCAGUUUUGUGGUGCAUUAAAGGACAAAUAGUGUUUAAAUAUAUCUUUAUUUAUUUUAAAUGCACUCCGUCUGACACUUUUUGGCUGGAUAAUAAUAAAUGUAUUAUUUCUAUAAAUUUUAUUUAAAUUGCUUUUUAUAAUAAACACAAUGCAGUGGAUCAUGGAUUCAGUAAAAAAAAAAAGUAAUUUAUAAUUUAAAAAAAUUUGAUUAUUUGGAGAAAUGGCAGUGAACCGUUCAAAAUUCUAAAGAGUCGAUUCUUUUUGCUGAGCUGAGUCGACUCACGGAAAAGAUUCGGAGUUCCCCACACAAGACAUCCUUAUGUCUGUAUGUGACUUUUUUUUUAAUGCUCAAACUAAAGAAGUGCUGCAGGGCUGUCCCCCAAAUCUCUCUCUCUAGGACACUUACUGAAGGGGUAGAGAUGUUUGUUUGUUUUAUGAAAAUUCAAGAUCCCAAAUCCUCCAGUUCAGUCCUGCGCUGCAAAAAAUAAAAAUCUUAGGAAGUUUUUGUCUAUUUUCAAGUCAAAACAUCUCGCCACCCUUAUUAUAAGACAUAAUUGCCCAACAAGCAAAACCUCAUUUAGCUAGAAAGGCUAGUUUUUAGACAGUCCAUCUUGAAAAUCUUGUCUAGACAAAAUGUCUUGAAAAAGUCUUAUUUGGAGCACCUUUGAAAAUAAAACAAGUUUUUUUUUAAAACAAGUAAGUACAUUUUGGACAUUUGUCAAAUGCGGUUCAUCUUGUUUCAAGAAAAAAAAAACAAAGUAUGCUUGUUUUGGGAAUAAAUGAACUUUACUGAAAUCUUUGAAUCUUUCAUUACAAUUCAACUCCACCUUACAGAUCCUAAGUUUACUGCGAGUGUUUUCUCAGUCAUUCAGAGUGAGCUCCUUCUAGAUGCUCUACAGACUCUAGACCAGACAAGUGCCUUCAAAAAGCCUAUGAGUGAGUGGAGGCGUUUUAGUGACGGCUUUUUGGAAUGCUGGGAGUUAAGUUCAGUGUUUUUGUUUGUUUUUUGUGCCUGAUCUUGUAAACCCCUCGUACACAUGAAUAGUCAGUGCCCCCAAAAUGCACUGUUGCUUUGGCGUUGUGUAAGCACUGUAAGUCAAAAUGCAUAGACUUUUUUUUUUUUUUGUGCCUGAGGUCCUGGGGAAGUGGAAUCUUAAGAGAUGUUUUAAUGUUUGAAUGUUGAAAUGGGAAAAAAAAUAAACUUGUUGCAAUGCUA